ACCUGCACUGGAUUCAGACCUCCUCAGAGACCUCAGCCUCCCUGGCAGUGGAGAUCAGCUCCUACGUUCUGCUGGCUUCCCUCAGUGCCUCUCCUCUGUCUACCACUGACCUGGGCUACUCCUCCCGCAUCGUCAGGUGGCUGGUGAGGCAGCAGAACGCCUACGGAGGCUUCUCCUCCACACAGGGUGUUCAGUAGAGAGGGCACCAGCACAGUGACAGUACGGUCUCCCAGUGGGGGACAGCACCUCUUCAAUGUGAACCAAAACAACAAGCUUCUCUACCAGGAGAGGGCGAUGCAGGACACAGAAGGAAAGUACAGUGUGGAAGUGAAGGGCAGUGCUUGUGCCUCAGUGCAGAUGGCGCUCCACUACAACAUCCCUACUCCUACUGACAGCACAACGCUCAGCAUCAAGGUGAAGACAGAGGUCGACUGCAACAGCAACUCUUUGAGACCCAGAGUCACACUGAAACUCCAGUCUCAGUAAGAAUGAAUAACACAUUUGCAUGCACAGCAUUCUUUGAAUCAGGUCAUUGAUAACAUACAGUGUUAUUUUUUAGCAUGUCUUACAGAAUAUUUUUGACCCAAUUUAAUUGGUGUUAUUAUACCUACAGUGCCCUCUGUAAUUAUUGGGACAAAUAAGCAUUUUUUCUUAUUUUGGCUCUAUACUCCAAAAGUCUGGAUUUGAAAUCAGGGUAUUUACAGGUUAAAUCAGGGUAUUUACAUCCAUAUCAGGUGAACCAUUUAGAAAUUACAGCACUUUUUGUACAUAGUCCCCCUAUUUUAGGGAACCAAAGGUAUUAGGACAAAUUCACUUUUAUGUGUAUUAAAGUAGUAAAAAAAAGUACUUGGUCCCA